UUCCACAAGUCAUUCUGUGUUCAAAAGUUCAGAAGAAUCACAUCUACCCUACAUACAUUGUCCCCCAUCACUCUAGGGUACUACCUUUGACCUGGUGACCAGCAGGUGGGGAUGGCCUGGUCCUCACUUACCUUCUAAAGGCAUCUGGGCUGAAGGUCUUCCUUGCUUCCCCUUCAUGGUCAGGAAGGAGAUGCUAAAGAUCCCUGUAGCCUGCUCUCUGCCUCUCCAGAAAGUUUUUGUUUCUGGUUCAACUCCCUCACUUGGACAUUUUUCUUGAUCCAUACCACUUACAUCCCACUGUCAGAGACCCAAUUUUAAGUCUUUCCCUGCUCCUUUCUGUUUCUCCUUCAAGUACAGCUGAUACCCCAGCAACCCUCCUUCUGUCCACCUACUCUUAAAUUCUUCUUUUAUGCUCCUACGAAUGGCUUCCUUACACCAACCUGUGAGUCUUGGUCCCUUCAUAGAUGUCACCUGAAGAAAUAAUGCCCUGGAUAUCUUUUUGUUCUUUCCCCAAAAUCAGAUCUUUCCUCAAAAGCAAAGUUUUCAGGAUACACAGAAGAUUUGCCAUGGCUUCCAUUGCACCUCUGUGCCUUUGCCCAGCCUGGCUAUACCAACCUGCAACCAUGUAAGUCCUGAGUCACUUACUACAUGACAGGUUUCCAAAAAUGGUCCAAACAGCUGCUUCCUGGUAUUCAUACUUUUGUUUAAUCCCCUGUCCUGACUUGCUUCUAACCUGUGACUUGCUUCUAAUGAGUGGAAUGUGGCAAGAGGGAUGUGAUUUCCAUGGAGUAACAAGCUUGCUAGAGUCUCUCUCCCUUGGUGUCUUUGAAAAACAAGUUGCCAUGCAUCCUACAACCAUGGGGGAAUGAUUUCUGCCAACAACCUGCAAGAGCUCAGAAACAGAGCCUCUGUUGAGAAGCCAGUCCCGGGUAAACCUUGACUGUUGCCUUGUGAGAGGAUCCAGUUAAGCUAUGCUUGAACUCCUGACCCAGAGAAACUGCAAGAUAAGUGUGUGCUGUGUUAAGCCACUGAGUUAGAGAUGCUUUGUUACACAGUAACAUAAAACAAAUAUACCAGGUGAAGUGGGGUGCCAAGGAAUUCCCAGAAGUUCCAGCAUGGCACUCCACCAUCAGGGCGUGUUUUAGAAGUGGGCAGCUGAAGACCGAUUCCCUACACUUCUCGGUCUUCAGGCUCCAUGCAUUCCUGGAAGGGGGCUAGAGUCUUGCCAUACUCUUGGUCCACCAAGUUUGGCACCAGAAUUUGUAAGUGGGAAAGGGUGGCAAUCAUCCCAAAGCUGCAUUGGCUUAGUAACUACACAAAUCUCAAGAAGGAAGAAACAUCUCCUGACUGCCAGGAGCUGACCUGGUUCUAUCAACAAGGACUUGGUGUUGCUAUACAAUAUCCACAGCCAGAUUGUGGUCUUCUGCUGAGCAUAAAUAAUUCACAGAAUAUCAACAUCUGCCAAGGCCACAUUGUGACUAUGAUGGAUAAAGACAAAAACAAGACCACUCCACAACACAGACAAAAUGAACACAGAAGCAUGUUAAACACAACCACUGGGGAAGCAAAUAGCAAAAUUCAAUUAGUGUGGUCACUAACUCUACAGGACAAAUGAUCAGUUUUCUUCAACAAAUAAAUACAAGGAAAAAAAAAGAGGAAGCAGAAACUAGAGAUUUAAAGAGACUUAAGAGACUGGUCAAGCUUUCCCAAUGUCUCAGCAGUAAGGAAUCUGCCUGCAAUGCAGAAGACACGAGUUCCUGUUGGGUUGGGAGGAUCCCCUGGAGGACAGCACAGGCAACCCACUCCAGUAUUCUUGCCUAGAGAAUCCCAUGGACGGAGGAGCCUGGCAGGCUACAGUCCAUAGCAUCGCAAAUAGUCUGACAUGGCUGAAGCGACUGAGCACGGAGGCACACAAGAGACUUGUCAACCCAUUAGAGUAAUUGGGCAUUAUUUGAUUCCCGAUCCAAACAAAUGAAUAAUAAUGACAGCAUUUAAGAGACUUUGGGGAAAUUUGAACUCUGGGUUUUUGUUCAUCACAAGGAAUUAUUGUUUAUGCUAUUAAAGAUGAUAAUGGUAUUGUGGA